rfam:Schistosoma margrebowiei strain Zambia genome assembly, scaffold: SMRZ_contig0001139
AUUCAGUUUGAGUCCCAAAUAGGAUGAAACACGCGUCCUGGAU